UUUAGGGAUUAGCCACUAUGCCUGAAUCUCUUCCUUCUGGAGAUGAUAAUUGACCAGGCUGGAAACACUAGCCAGCGAUACUGAUGUAGAGGUCACUCACCAGCCUGUCCUCUGACUCAAACAUGGAGUAAUCAAUGGUGAAAUCUGCACCAAAGUCAUCUGCAGAGGAGAAAGAAAAUCAGCAGUCAUAAAAGAAAAAG